CUGGCGGCAUGCCUUCACAUGCAAGUCGUUCGGCAGCACGGGGGCAACCCUGGUGGCGAGUGGCGAACGGGUGAGUAAUACAUCGGAACGUGCCCUGUAGUGGGGGAUAACUAGUCGAAAGAUUAGCUAAUACCGCAUACGACCUGAGGGUGAAAGCGGGGGACCGCAAGGCCUCGCGCUACAGGAGCGGCCGAUGUCUGAUUAGCUAGUUGGUGGGGUAAAAGCCUACCAAGGCGACGAUCAGUAGCUGGUCUGAGAGGACGAUCAGCCACACUGGGACUGAGACACGGCCCAGACUCCUACGGGAGGCAGCAGUGGGGAAUUUUGGACAAUGGGGGCAACCCUGAUCCAGCAAUGCCGCGUGUGUGAAGAAGGCCUUCGGGUUGUAAAGCACUUUUGUCCGGAAAGAAAUGGCUCUGGUUAAUACCUGGGGUCGAUGACGGUACCGGAAGAAUAAGCACCGGCUAACUACGUGCCAGCAGCCGCGGUAAUACGUAGGGUGCGAGCGUUAAUCGGAAUUACUGGGCGUAAAGCGUGCGCAGGCGGUUUUGUAAGACAGGCGUGAAAUCCCCGAGCUCAACUUGGGAAUGGCGCUUGUGACUGCAAGGCUAGAGUAUGUCAGAGGGGGGUAGAAUUCCACGUGUAGCAGUGAAAUGCGUAGAGAUGUGGAGGAAUACCGAUGGCGAAGGCAGCCCCCUGGGACGUCACUGACGCUCAUGCACGAAAGCGUGGGGAGCAAACAGGAUUAGAUACCCUGGUAGUCCACGCCCUAAACGAUGUCAACUAGUUGUUGGGGAUUCAUUUCUUCAGUAACGUAGC
rnacentral:rRNA from 1 species